ACAUGUGGUCUUUGUUUUAAGGUGAGAAUACAUGGAUAAUAAUUGCACUUGCAAAGAAAUGCAGCAGCCGCAGCCGCUGGCCAGCAGUCCUGAGCACAUGGCUCUUUGCAUUGAUUCUUGCUGCUGUUACCGACGCCUGACUCCAGUGUCCUAACUCCGUUAGAGGACUGAUUUGAUGCUGCUGACCACAGCUGUUGAAGAAAGCAAGCCAACCCUCCUGUGGGAGUUGCAUCCCAGGUGGGACUGUGCUUCUGGUGAAGAAGACGAGGCAUUGAAGAAUCACUGGACUAGAGCUGUGGAAAUCUCAGAGAGAAAGAUCUGAGCAAAGGAAAUAUCCGCUUCUGUGGGUGACACAACGUUGACAGCUAAGGGCAGCCGGCCGACUCAACGAGAUGAAGUCUAACCGGAGCUAAUGUUCAGCCUGGUGCUUUCCUUGAGACGGCUCAGCGGCGAAGCACAAGACCCAGGAGACGUGGCAUGAGCUGGGUUGACGAUCAGUGUCCUCCAGGCCUAAGUCUUCAGACGAAGCACCACACUUUAAAGAGAUGAUGGCAAAUGAAGCAAUGAAGUAUAUCCUGGGGAGAAAGGGCUGGAAGACUGGAGGGUGUUGCAAAGAGAACACUCGGGAGAGAAGGAGCAUGCUGGAUGCACAAAAUCCUCGCCAAGUUGCCAGCCCUCAGCAGGUUUCUCUCUCCUCUGCUUCACGUUGGAGUAUAAAUCCCAGGAGAACCGAGAACUUGUUCUGUUCACCGCUGAAUCUUGAGUGCUGAAACAUUUGUGGGUCGUGGUGAGUGCUCAGUACUGUUUGUUGAGUAAAGAAAGUGACUGCUAAGCCUUCUUGGAGUACUGAGGCUCUGACUGGAAGGUGUGGUAUCAGCUCUUCCUUUGGUUCUUCAAUGCUGCAUGACGAAUGCCAACUUCCUAUUGUCUGCUGUGAUUCUGUGGGCAACCGGGGCUCAGCUGGUGGUUCUCCUUUGGGAUCUCUAAUACAGGUGCCGCCUUCAUGACUAGAGCUGGAAUCUCUAAUGGCUCAACUCUGCUGGACAUCCAAGAUGGCGCACUUGCAUGGCUGGUGGUUAGUACUGGUUGUUAGCUGGGAGCUCAGCUGGGGGCUGUUGACCAGAGUGUCCAUAUGUGGCCUCUCCAGAUGCCUUAGGCUUAUCAUGGACAGGUUGCAAGAUGUUGUAUGGGACAGGAAACGGAAGCUUCUGAAGUGCUGAGCCUGGAAACGAGGAAGUGUCCUUAUAUCACAAUUGAUUGGUUAAGCAGCCAUGGAGCCCAACUAGAUGCAAG